CAGUCGCCGCGGUAAUACGGAGGGUGCGAGCGUUAAUCGGAAUAACCGGGCGUAAAGGGCACGCAGGCGGUGACUUAAGUGAGGUGUGAAAGCCCCGGGCUUAACCUGGGAAUUGCAUUUCAUACUGGGCCGCUAGAGUACUUUAGGGAGGGGUAGAAUUCCACGUGCAGCGGUGAAAUGCGUAGAGAUGUGGAGGAAUACCGAAGGCGAAGGCAGCCCCUUGGGAAUGUACUGACGCUCAUGUGCGAAAGCGUGGGGAGCAAACAGGAUUAGAUACCCCCGUAGUCCCUGUCUCUUAUAC
rnacentral:rRNA from 1 species